AGUCCCGUGGUGUAGUGGCCAAUCAUGUGAGCUUCUGGGGCUCACGACGCUGGUUCGAAUCCAGCCGGGACUA
rnacentral:tRNA from 1 species